rnacentral:rRNA from 1 species
AUACGUAGGGGGCGAGCGUUGUCCGGAAUGAUUGGGCGUAAAGGGCGCGUAGGCGGCCCGGUAAGUCUGGAGUGAAAGUCCUGUUUUUAAGAUGGGAAUUGCUUUGGAUACUGUCGGGCUUGAGUGCAGGAGAGGUAAGUGGAAUUCCCAGUGUAGCGGUGAAAUGCGUAGAGAUUGGGAGGAACACCAGUGGCGAAGGCGACUUACUGGACUGUAACUGACGCUGAGGCGCGAAAGUGUGGGGAGCAAACAGGAUUAGAUUCCCUGGUAGUCCGCACUGUAAACGAUGAAUGCUAGGUGUAGGGGGUAUCGACCCCUUCUGUGCCGCAGUCAACACAAUAAGCAUUCCGCCUGGGGAGUACGGCCGCAAGGUUGAAACUCAAAUGAAUUGACGGGG